GAGACAGCAGUCGCCGCGGUAAUACGAAGGUGGCUAGCGUUGCUCGGAAUUACUGGGCGUAAAGGGAGCGUAGGCGGACAUUUAAGUCAGGGGUGAAAUCCCAGAGCUCAACUCUGGAACUGCCUUUGAUACUGGGUGUCUUGAGUGUGAUAGAGGUAUGUGGAACUCCGAGUGUAGAGGUGAAAUUCGUAGAUAUUCGGAAGAACACCAGUGGCGAAGGCGACAUACUGGAUCAUUACUGACGCUGAGGCUCGAAAGCGUGGGGAGCAAACAGGAUUAGAUACCCCAGUAGUCCCUGUCUCUUAUAC
rnacentral:rRNA from 1 species